GUGGGGCGGAGGUGUGAUAGACAUUUUCUCGCUCGCUCUCGUUCCAUUUUGGGAAAAUAGCGUUUCUCUUUCUCGCGCCCAGUGGAAACCUUUGGGGGCGUGGCUGGGCAGUUGCCAUCUGGGUAGUGUUUGAGGAAGUUUUAGUGCCUACCGUUUGUGCAGGUGCCUUCUUUAUUUCUUUAUUGAUGCUUUGUACCCCCAUUUCCCCCCAGAAACACCAUCAAAUUUCUUUCCUGUCCAGGACCACAAAAAGUCAGAGAAUCAGCAGGAUCAGUGGAGAAUUCCACCCCGGGACAUUGGGUACAUCCUCCUAGGAAAAAAUUCAUUCCGACCAGAAAAGUCGGGGAUUGGGUUUUCCUUCGGUCUUCACAGUGCCUCCAGGCUUUUCUGAAAGACUCAUCAGUCCAACUUCCUUCUCCUACACUCUGCCAAGUUCUUUGUAGUGCUGAGUCUGAGUAAAGGGGGUGGAGUGAGGAUGACAAAUGAGGAACUAGGCCCCUUUCCCUAAACCUUGGUUUUGUUGGGGGUGCUGGGCAAAGAAUCCAGGACCUCAUGCAUGCCAGUCUCUACCACUGAACUACUGCCCUAGUCCUGAAAGUCUUGCUUCCCAUGAUAUUGCUGCCAGUAAUUUGUCCUGUGACCCUACUGGGCACUAAGUCUCAGUUAUUUUGUCCAGGUAGCGAGCACACAUCAUGAUACUCAGCCUGAAUUCCUUAGCAGUGUCUUUCCUAUCUUCUAAAUUAGUUGAACCUUGCUCCUUUAGUCUUUCAAGCCAGACCAGAAUGGUGAGAACUUAUUUCCUCCUUUUCAGAAACACACACACAUAUCCACUCAAAAGUUAGGGUCACCGACUCCAAAUUACAAGGAAGGGGCAACAUUUCAAUAGGAAAAUCCUUUCUUAAACACUGUAAUUCAAUAGAAUGUUUCAUUAACAGAUAAAUUUAAAAGCUCCCUUUUAGUUAGUAUCCUCUUUGCCAGCCCAGGCUUUUCUUUCUUUCUUCUUUUUCUUUUUUUCUUGGUACUGGAGUUUGAACCCAGGGGUGCUUGACCACUUAGCCGUAUCUCCAACCCUUUUUAUGUAUUUUAUUUAGAGACAGGCUGUCAUUGUAUUGCUUAGGGUCUUCCUAAAUUGCUGUGGCUGGCUUUGAAUUCUCGAUUCUCCUGCCUCAGCUUCCUGAGCUGCUGGGAUUGCAAGUGUGCACCACCACAACAGGCUAAACUAGGCAUCUUUGUAUGUUAAAUCCUUCAAUCCUCACAAACAUUCCAAGGGAUGGG
rnacentral:lncRNA from 1 species